rnacentral:rRNA from 1 species
GAUGAACGCUGGCGGCGUGCCCAAUACAUGCAAGUCGAGCGAACGGACGAGAAGCUUGCUUCUCUGAUGUUAGCGGCGGACGGGUGAGUAACACGUGGAUAACCUACCUAUAAGACUGGGAUAACUUCGGGAAACCGGAGCUAAUACCGGAUGAUAUUUUGAACCGCAUGGUUCAAAAGUGAAAGACGGUCUUGCUGUCACUUAUAGAUGGAUCCGCGCUGCAUUAGCUAGUUGGUAAGGUAACGGCUUACCAAGGCAACGAUGCAUAGCCGACCUGAGAGGGUGAUCGGCCACACUGGAACUGAGACACGGUCCAGACUCCUACGGGAGGCAGCAGUAGGGAAUCUUCCGCAAUGGGCGAAAGCCUGACGGAGCAACGCCGCGUGAGUGAUGAAGGUCUUCGGAUCGUAAAACUCUGUUAUUAGGGAAGAACAUAUGUGUAAGUAACUGUGCACAUCUUGACGGUACCUAAUCAGAAAGCCACGGCUAACUACGUGCCAGCAGCCGCGGUAAUACGUAGGUGGCAAGCGUUAUCCGGAAUUAUUGGGCGUAAAGCGCGCGUAGGCGGUUUUUUAAGUCUGAUGUGAAAGCCCACGGCUCAACCGUGGAGGGUCAUUGGAAACUGGAAAACUUGAGUGCAGAAGAGGAAAGUGGAAUUCCAUGUGUAGCGGUGAAAUGCGCAGAGAUAUGGAGGAACACCAGUGGCGAAGGCGACUUUCUGGUCUGUAACUGACGCUGAUGUGCGAAAGCGUGGGGAUCAAACAGGAUUAGAUACCCUGGUAGUCCACGCCGUAAACGAUGAGUGCUAAGUGUUAGGGGGUUUCCGCCCCUUAGUGCUGCAGCUAACGCAUUAAGCACUCCGCCUGGGGAGUACGACCGCAAGGUUGAAACUCAAAGGAAUUGACGGGGACCCGCACAAGCGGUGGAGCAUGUGGUUUAAUUCGAAGCAACGCGAAGAACCUUACCAAAUCUUGACAUCCUUUGACAACUCUAGAGAUAGAGCCUUCCCCUUCGGGGGACAAAGUGACAGGUGGUGCAUGGUUGUCGUCAGCUCGUGUCGUGAGAUGUUGGGUUAAGUCCCGCAACGAGCGCAACCCUUAAGCUUAGUUGCCAUCAUUAAGUUGGGCACUCUAAGUUGACUGCCGGUGACAAACCGGAGGAAGGUGGGGAUGACGUCAAAUCAUCAUGCCCCUUAUGAUUUGGGCUACACACGUGCUACAAUGGACAAUACAAAGGGCAGCGAAACCGCGAGGUCAAGCAAAUCCCAUAAAGUUGUUCUCAGUUCGGAUUGUAGUCUGCAACUCGACUACAUGAAGCUGGAAUCGCUAGUAAUCGUAGAUCAGCAUGCUACGGUGAAUACGUUCCCGGGUCU